rnacentral:rRNA from 1 species
UACGUAGGGUGCAAGCGUUAUCCGGAAUUAUUGGGCGUAAAGAGCUCGUAGGCGGUUUGUCGCGUCUGCUGUGAAAACUGGAGGCUCAACCUCCAGCCUGCAGUGGGUACGGGCAGACUAGAGUGCGGUAGGGGAGAUUGGAAUUCCUGGUGUAGCGGUGGAAUGCGCAGAUAUCAGGAGGAACACCAAUGGCGAAGGCAGAUCUCUGGGCCGUAACUGACGCUGAGGAGCGAAAGCAUGGAGAGCGAACAGG